GCUUUAAAAAUAAAAGGGGUCCAGCCUGCCCAGUGACAAAUGUUCAACGGCCGCGGUAUCCUAACCGUGCGAAGGUAGCGUAAUCACUUGUUCUUUAAAUGAGGACUAGUAUGAAUGGCACCACGAGGGUUGCACUGUCUCCUUUCCCUAAUCAAUGAAACUAAUCUCCCCGUGAAGAAGCGGGGGUACUAAUAUAAGACGAGAAGACCCUAUGGAGCUUUAAAUUUCUCUUCAAACGCCAGACACAAACAUCUGACACUUUACAUUAACCCGACGCCUUGAAGAUGAAUUUUAGGUUGGGGUGACCAUGGAGAACAAAAUAACCUCCACGCUGAAAAGGCCUCCAAGCCUUGAGCCGAGGGCUACAACCCAACGCACUAAAAAAUUAACACCCAUUGACCCAAUAUUUUUGAUCAACGAACCAAGUUACCCUAGGGAUAACAGCGCAAUCUACUUCAAGAGUCCCUAUCGACAAGUGGGUUUACGACCUCGAUGUUGGAUCAGGGUAUCCCAGUGGUGCAGCCGCUACUAAAGGUUCGUUUGUUCAACGAUUAAAACCCUACGUGAUCUGAGUUCAGACCGGA
rnacentral:rRNA from 1 species